UCCCUGGAGGACUAGUGGUUAGGCCUCAGCGCUCUCACCACUGUGGCUAGAGUUCAAUUCCCGGCCAGGGAA